CCUACGGGAGGCAGCAGUGGGGAAUAUUGCACAAUGGGCGAAAGCCUGAUGCAGCAACGCCGCGUGAGGGAUGACGGCCUUCGGGUUGUAAACCUCUUUCAGUAGGGAAGAAGCGAAAGUGACGGUACCUACAGAAGAAGCACCGGCUAACUACGUGCCAGCAGCCGCGGUAAUACGUAGGGUGCGAGCGUUGUCCGGAAUUAUUGGGCGUAAAGAGCUUGUAGGCGGUUUGUCGCGUCUGCCGUGAAAAUCCGGGACUCAACCCCGGACCUGCGGUGGGUACGGGCAGACUAGAGUGUGGUAGGGGAGACUGGAAUUCCUGGUGUAGCGGUGAAAUGCGCAGAUAUCAGGAGGAACACCGAUGGCGAAGGCAGGUCUCUGGGCCACUACUGACGCUGAGAAGCGAAAGCGUGGGGAGCGAACAGGAUUAGAUACCCUGGUAGUCCACGCCGUAAACGUUGGGCGCUAGGUGUGGGACUCAUUCCACGAGUUCCGUGCCGCAGCUAACGCAUUAAGCGCCCCGCCUGGGGAGUACGGCCGCAAGGCUAAAACUCAAAUGAAUUGACGG
rnacentral:rRNA from 1 species